UGGGGAAUCUUGCGCAAUGGGCGACAGCCUGACGCAGCGACGCCGCGUGAGGGAAGAAGGCUUUCGGGUUGUAAACCUCUUUCAGGAGGGACGAAGCUACUCGGGUUAAUAGCCCAGAGGGUGACGGUACCUCCAGAAGAAGCCCCGGCUAACUACGUGCCAGCAGCCGCGGUAAUACGUAGGGGGCAAGCGUUGUCCGGAUUUAUUGGGCGUAAAGAGCGUGUAGGCGGCCAGAUAGGUCCGUUGUGAGAACUCGAGGCUCAACCUCGAGACGCCGAUGGAAACCAUCUGGCUAGAGUCCGGAAGAGGAGAGUGGAAUUCCCGGUGUAGCGGUGAAAUGCGCAGAUAUCGGGAAGAACACCCGUGGCUAAGGCGGCUCUCUAGUACGGUACUGACGCUGAGACGCGAAAGCGUGGGGAGCGAACAGGAUUAGAUACCCUGGUAGUCCACGCCGUAAACGAUGGGUGCUAGGUGUGGGAGGUGUCGACUCCUUCCGUGCCGAAGCUAACGCAUUAAGCACCCCGCCUGGGGAGUACGGCCGCAAGGCUAA
rnacentral:rRNA from 1 species